rnacentral:piRNA from 1 species
GGAUAUUUGUGUGUUAAAAUAAUGGU